GAUGAACGCUGGCGGCGUGCCUAAUACAUGCAAGUCGAGCGAACGGACGAGAAGCUUGCUUCUCUGAUGUUAGCGGCGGACGGGUGAGUAACACGUGGAUAACCUACCUAUAAGACUGGGAUAAAUUCGGGAAACCGGAGCUAAUACCGGAUGAUAUUUUGAACCGCAUGGUUCAAAAGUGAAAGACGGGCUUGCUGUCACUUAUAGAUGGAUCCGCGCUGCAUUAGCUAGUUGGUAAGGUAACGGCUUACCAAGGCAACGAUGCAUAGCCGACCUGAGAGGGUGAUCGGCCACACUGGAACUGAGACACGGUCCAGACUCCUACGGGAGGCAGCAGUAGGGAAUCUUCCGCAAUGGGCGAAAGCCUGACGGAGCAACGCCGCGUGAGUGAUGAAGGUCUUCGGAUCGUAAAACUCUGUUAUUAGGGAAGAACAUAUGUGUAAGUAACUGUGCACAUCUUGACGGUACCUAAUCAGAAAGCCACGGCUAACUACGUG
rnacentral:rRNA from 1 species